UCAAGGGACACUGAAUUUUAUCAGUUUAGU
rnacentral:piRNA from 1 species